GAGAAUUGGUCCCUUGAACUUAGGUCAUCCUGACCGCGUGUUGUUAUACCAGCUGUUUUCUAUUUCCGUGUGUGUACGUGUGAAGGUUGUAUUGUGCAAGCUUUCUUGAUGAUCUCAAUAAAAGGCAUAUUUUGCUCCAAUGAAAAAAAGGUAAUCUCCUAUAAUAAUUGAGCAUGUUUCAGUCCAUUCUUGUUAAUCAAUCCUACUCGAAGAUGGGCUGCACUUUGACUUUGGAGGACAAGUGGCACAUGAGGCUUGUGAUUUUUUUUAUUUUUUAUUUUUUGGUGAGAUAAGUAGGCUUGUGAGGUUCAACCGCUUGUAGUUGAACUCCUCCAUCGCUACGUCGGAUAGCUCCAGCGGUUUGGUUGCCCCGCUUUUUUAACGUACGAUGAUCACUGUUCGAGUUCCGAGACUAUCGUGUUUCUUCGAAUAGCAGGGAAUUAGUCGGAUCAAAAGUCCGAAUAUCCCUGCAUCCAAAAAAAAAAAAAAAAAAAGAGUUCAACUCCUCCACGUCGACGACGUGUAACGUGCUUCCAUGUAAGCUUGCGUUAUUAAUUGCUGUCUCCAACACCAUCUACUCAACAUAAUCAAUCAAUGAAAGAGCAACCGUCCUUCAAUUCAGAUAGUGGCAGCAGGGUGCCAUUCGUCCAUGUGUUUGUACCUCCUGCCGACGAAUUGACCGUUCUAGCUUUCAUCCUCUAUGUGUAUGUCGGUCGGUAAGAGGCUAAGAGCCUAUUGGUGCAAGUGUUGGCUUGGGCAUAAGGGCUCUUUUUGCUGGGUCAAGGAAGAAUAAUAAAUAAUAAUGAUAAUAGCCAUUCUCCGCCGCCGUGACAAAUGCUAGAACUAUUUUCCAGUUUCCCACGCUCUCGCGGGCCUAGAAAGGUCACAGGGCUGGCACCAAAAGCAGAACAAAAAGUUUGAAGAAAUUAUUGUCCUCGUGCACAAAGCUGUGUGUGUGUGUGUGUUGGGAAGUUUAGUAGCAAGGGAUGAUGAUAUUAUAUUAAUUAUUUGUUGCCAAAAAUCAGAAAAGAGGGAGAUGUUCUCGGUUGCUGAACUUUAAACAAUUUAAAUACCUUCACCGUUUGACUGCAUCCCUUCACCAUUGAAUAUUUGAUUGAUGGAAGAAAACAACCAGCAGUACUC
rnacentral:lncRNA from 1 species